rnacentral:rRNA from 1 species
AUUGAACGCUGGCGGCAGGCCUAACACAUGCAAGUCGAACGGUAACAGGAAGCAGCUUGCUGCUUUGCUGACGAGUGGCGGCCGGGUGAGUAAUGUCUGGGAAACUGCCUGAUGGAGGGGGAUAACUACUGGAAACGGUAGCUAAUACCGCAUAACGUCGCAAGACCAAAGAGGGGGACCUUAGGGCCUCUUGCCAUCGGAUGUGCCCAGAUGGGAUUAGCUAGUAGGUGGGGUAACGGCUCACCUAGGCGACGAUCCCUAGCUGGUCUGAGAGGAUGACCAGCCACACUGGAACUGAGACACGGUCCAGACUCCUACGGGAGGCAGCAGUGGGGAAUAUUGCACAAUGGGCGCAAGCCUGAUGCAGCCAUGCCGCGUGUAUGAAGAAGGCCUUCGGGUUGUAAAGUACUUUCAGCGGGGAGGAAGGGAGUAAAGUUAAUACCUUUGCUCAUUGACGUUACCCGCAGAAGAAGCACCGGCUAACUCCGUG